UGGGGAAUAUUGGACAAUGGGCGAAAGCCUGAUCCAGCCAUGCCGCGUGUGUGAAGAAGGUCUUCGGAUUGUAAAGCACUUUAAGUUGGGAGGAAGGGCAGUAAGCGAAUACCUUGCUGUUUUGACGUUACCGACAGAAUAAGCACCGGCUAACUCUGUGCCAGCAGCCGCGGUAAUACAGAGGGUGCAAGCGUUAAUCGGAAUUACUGGGCGUAAAGCGCGCGUAGGUGGUUCGUUAAGUUGAAUGUGAAAGCCCCGGGCUCAACCUGGGAACUGCAUCCAAAACUGGCGAGCUAGAGUAGGGCAGAGGGAGGUGGAAUUUCCUGUGUAGCGGUGAAAUGCGUAGAUAUAGGAAGGAACACCAGUGGCGAAGGCGACCACCUGGGCUCAUACUGACACUGAGGUGCGAAAGCGUGGGGAGCAAACAGG
rnacentral:rRNA from 1 species